GAUAAACGCUGGCGGCGUGCAUGAGACAUGCAAGUCGAACGAAGGAUCGGGCUUGCUCGAUCCUUAGUGGCGGACGGCUGAGUAACGCGUAGGUGACCUACCCCGAAGUGGGGAAUAACUGCCCGAAAGGGUGGCUAAUACCGCAUGUGGUCGCACGUUCAUUCGUGCGAGUAAAGCCGCAAGGCGCUUCGGGAGGGGCCUGCGUCCGAUUAGCUCGUUGGUGGGGUAAUGGCUUACCAAGGCGACGAUCGGUAGGUGGUCUGAGAGGACGAUCACCCAGACUGGGACUGAGACACGGCCCAGACUCCUACGGGAGGCAGCAGUCGGGAAUUUUGCUCAAUGGGGGAAACCGUGAAGCAGCAACGCCGCGUGAGGGAUGAAGGCCUUCGGGUUGUAAACCUCUUUUGUCAGGGACGAUGAUGACGGUACCUGGCGAAUAAGCCACGGCUAACUACGUG
rnacentral:rRNA from 1 species